UACGUAGGGUGUAAGCGUUGUCCGGAUUUAUUGGGCGUAAAGAGCGUGUAGGCGGCCAGGUAGGUCUGCUGUGAAAACUCGAGGCUUAACCUCGAGCUGUCGGCGGAAACCAUCUGGCUAGAGUCCGGAAGAGGAGAAUGGAAUUCCCGGUGUAGCGGUGAAAUGCGCAGAUAUCGGGAAGAACACCCGUGGCGAAGGCGGUUCUCUGGGACGGUACUGACGCUGAGACGCGAAAGCGUGGGGAGCGAACAGG
rnacentral:rRNA from 1 species